GGGCAGAAUAAAAAAUUACUAAAAAAAAAUCUUCUCAAAAUUACGGAAAUCGAGCGGCGGCGGCGGCUCCCCCCGCCCGCCGGCCCGCCCGCCCCCUCCCCGGCUCCCCGGCCCCGGGCGCAGCGCGCAUGUGUCCUGCUAUAAUUAUGAUUAUCAAUAAUGCAUUGCGAUUAAUCAUAGAGGGGCUCUUUGAAAGGCGAUUGGCACCGGGCCAGCGCUAUUCAAACCCGCUCGCCUUAAUCAAUUAGUUUGUGAUUUGCUGCAGACCCCUGUCUCUCCGCGCGCUGGCCCAAUAAGCCGGCCGCGGGGCUGGCUCUGCGAGCCGCGCCGCCCGACACUGGGUUAACCCUCUUCGCGACCGCCCGGGACUCCGCGGCCGGGCCGCCGGGGGCCUGCCUUCUCGCCUCUGAGCACCCGGCGCCCCGGCCUGAGCCCCCCUCCCUCCCUCGGCCCCCCCAUCCCGGGCUGGGCCGACCCAAAUUAGCAUGCCCUCCCCGGAAUUAAGCCUCCCCGGGUGGGGGGUGGGGCCGGGCGGCGGGGGCUGGGGACCCGGGCUGCGGGCGCGCGGCGAACUUCCCAACUCCGGCGCUAGGAGCGCCGGCCCGCGGGGGGAGGGAGUCCCGUGGCGGGAUUUGGGGGGAGGAAGUCCCGUUUCGUGAGUGUUUCUUCGUUUCUUUAAGAGCUACCAGAAAGCAGCCCACCCCCACCCCCAUAAAAAAAAAAAUAAGCGAGUGGGGAAGAGCCAGCCCCACGCCGGUCCGCCUCCCGCCCGCGGCCCGGCCUCCCUCCCGCUCGCUGCUUGGCUCGGCGCUCCUUCGCCCCGAGUUCUCCAUCCCCUGGAUCCCGGGCUCGCGGGGGCGCGGAGAAGAGGACCAAGGAAAGAUGCGUGGAGAGGUUUGGAAGCUCUAGGAGAAGAAAGAUGUUGGGAACAAAUAACUGCCUGCACCUUCUCUCCUGCCCAGAGGAAAGAGCCAGGAAAUAGGAAGAUUUCCAAGCCAAAGUCUGCAACUCAUCCAUGGGGCUGCAGGAUCAUGCAUAUUGCCGACUGAACUCAGGACCACUGAAGUCUCCCAUGACCCACAAAUGCCUUGAACUAAACAUACUGCAGGGAUGCUGACAUCUAUAAACUUAUGAGUCCGAUGAGGUCUCCACUGAUAUUAAACCUCUUGAAGCCUUCUUUUGCUGUUUGUGUUUUUUAUUGUAAAAUGGGCAAAAUGAUAGUGUCUACCUGUCUUAGUCCUAGUCCAUU
rnacentral:lncRNA from 1 species